AGAACGACUCUCGGCAACGGAUAUCUCGGCUCUCGCAUCGAUGAAGAACGUAGCAAAAUGCGAUACUUGGUGUGAAUUGCAGAAUCCCGUGAACCAUCGAGUUUUUGAACGCAAGUUGCGCCCGAAGCCAAUAGGUUGAGGGCACGUCUGCCUGGGCUUCUCGC
rnacentral:rRNA from 1 species